rnacentral:lncRNA from 1 species
AACCUCACCGACCAAAUCCAGGUACGGCUACCAAGCUCACUAGUCCCACUCAUUUGAGACCUAAUGACUCACUCACUAAUUCCUCACCAUGGGAAUUAGCUACCACCCCAAGGGCCAUGCUAUGCACGCUAAAUCACCUAGCAUGCAAACAUCAACAACAAUCCACAAUAACUCAUCACUAAUUCCUCACCAUGGGAAUUAGC